GCUGUUAGUGGUCUCCAGUAUGUGGCAUGUUUUAGCCUGAGAAGGACUCUGAUGGAGCCAGCUGAACUAGAGAGACUUGAACAAGUAACAGAGCACACCACUGCAAGAGAGGUAUUCAAUUCUCCUCCUUGUCUCCUCACUGAUGGCUGCAAGCUGAUGGUAAGACAGACCUUUUUUGGAAGAACUGUGGUGCUGGAUUGCCUCAGCCACCUUGCACGGUUUGGUGAUGCAGCUGAGCUCAUCAAAUAUCUCAUAUAUCAAGCACCUCUAGCAAGUUGCUCCAGCUCAAAACAUCACUCCCUUCUGCUGUUGAUAGGACUUUCUUAGCAAAAGUUACUGCCUUUGCAACACAAGUUGGA